rnacentral:lncRNA from 1 species
GCAAUUAAAUCUACAUCUGCAAGAAUAUUGCCUCCAUAUUGCCAUUUCAACACCUGCUACUAGUAGUACAUAUAGUACUCGACCCUUUUUCCAACAUAAGAGUAACAUAAAUAUACAUACUAAUGUUCUAUUGUAUAGACAAAUUCAACUCUUCAAAAGACAAGUAAAAAAAUACAAUAAAUUCAUAACAAUUGACUAUAUACAAAUUCAUUUUCUAUUAACCGAUAAGUUGUGCAAUUCCCAAAGAACAAAAAAAUUAUUUGACAUAUAAUGACAUACAGUCAGAAACGACAACACAAAUCAUCAACCCAUGCAUGCAACUUGUUGCUCAACGAGGUGAACGAUCCAGAAGAGACUGAUAACUGCAAUAAUGGCCCUGCUUGGUUACCCCGCAAAACUUUGCAUGAAAUUUAGCCUAAUUUAAUAUGCUUGAAACUCUUGAUAAUUAGUUUUAUGAACAAAAUUUAUGCAAAACUUUGGUGUUAUUUCAAAAGUGCAAAAUUUUUACACCUUUCUCUAAUAAACUUAGUAGGGGACCAUCUAUGAUUAUCUCAUGUUUAUGCAAGGUUUAAGUGGGGGACCAAUAGGGUUUAAGGUAAAAUAGGUGGGGGACCAUUCAAAUCAAAGAGUAAACUUAGGAGGGACCACUCUAACUAUAGAUGGGUAAAUAUUUGCCUUUUUUGCAGCCCAAACAAGCAGGGCCAAUAUAUAAAAGAAAUAUUGCUUGUCAGAAUAGAUGAUUUAGUCCAACGAUCUUAUUUUCUUUCAUAUUUACUUAGCUAAUUUCAUGGUGGGCAAUACGCAAAACUAUAAUAUAUAUUAAGGAAUGUGUGUGUUACGUAAUACUAGUGUUGUAGGAACUUGCGACUCUGAUUUCACAUACCUAAUUUCUUCACCAUGCAAGAUCUGCCAACUCCUUUUAAUAUCAGAUAUAGAAUCUUCAGCUGCAAGAAACUUUAAAAUGACGUUCCAUUUCAUAAAAGUCGCAACCAAUAGUAAGCAACGCAAAUUGAUGUGUUCGAACACAAAAUAAAAUAAUGGAAAAAGGCAAAUAUCGCCUGAAAUCCAAUUACCGCCAUUUUACUGUCAUCAAAAGAAUAAGAAGAUAUUGAGAAUAAGGAACCACCAUUAAGUGCAAAUCAGAAGUAACAAAAAACACUGAUCUUGAGUGCAUUUUAAUAGGGUCUGCUUCAUUGAAGUGGUUAGCUUCAAAUGCACCCAUUGUUUGUUGAGAAACACCAUAUCCAAGUGUUAUCAAGUAAAUUGAUACAUACUAUACAAUGAUCAUUAAGUAAGAAAUUCCAUUUAUGUAAUCUACUUGCCAGACAGUACAACCUUCUGACCCUGGCAAAAUUAUCAUCAAAGCAAAGGAAAAAAGAUAUCAUCCAAAAUCCAAAGUGUACCUUCAGUUUCUCACAAUCAUUCACCAAAAAGUUUAAAGGCCCAAUGACAUUCAGGACUUGUGAUUCAAGUUUAUUAUCCUCUUCUUUUGAUUAAUAUUUUCUUUGUAACCUUUGACAUUGCCAUAAACUACCUUCGUAACUAGCAGUCCACCUUUCUCUUAUUGCUUGUUUCUCUUCCUAUUGCCCACACUUUGUAGUAAUCGUUAAGCUUUCUCUGCUGCUUCCCUUGCCUCUCGACCUGCAUAAAUAAACAUAACAAACCUAAGUUUCAACUGACUGCAAGGGUUUCUACAUCCAACAGAAGGUCCAAUCCACCAUUUUUCGUAGUAUAUUAUUCACUCACUUCAAGUAAAAUGACAACAUAUACCUCAAAACAUAUUUUUCUAUGUUGCUUUACAAAACUACAUAUACUUGACAUGGCAGAGUAAUCUAGUAGCCAACAUCUUCCAGCAGAUUAACAGUUAAAAGUGCCUAUAGGAUGAUCAAGUAGAGUACAUUGACGAAAAUAUGUCCAAAACUAGUAAUACAACAACAUGCAUUUGCUACAUCAUUCAUAGUAUAAAAAGGUUGAUGCAUAAAAAGGUUCUGAAUACCUCAUUCAUAUUAAUAAAAACAUUUCGCUAAUAAGCAUUCAAAUUUGGAAUCCAUAACAAUUCAAUUUUAAUAGCAGAAAAAAAAAUCUAUGAAAAUAGAAAUCAAAUAUGGGAGCUGGUAUGUAUAGAUCACUAUGUUUGUGUCUUUAAGUCAAGAAAAUAAAAAUUAAAUACAAACAGAAUUUUUGAGGACAAGAAUUAAACACGAGAGCCAAACAAGUAUCCUCCUGAUAUUAAUCAAUAAUGAUAAUAAAAGCUUUGUGCACUUUGUAGACUACGACAAAGAUAAUUAUGUUUGCUAAGACUAAGAUUGCAGCUGAGAUCAUAAGUGUAUAUGUGGGUGUUGUUGUACAUUUUAACUCGAUGCAAAAAAGUUAAGUACCUCACAAGUAACAAGUCACUGGAACGAGUUGGGCCUUUUUCGAGCCAAAGUUGUAAUUCACCAAUUCUACAAGAUGAUAAAACAAUACAAGUCAGUGAUUGAUUCAAUAAUCGAAUUGGUUUAAUAAAAAAAAAAAAAAAAAAAGGUCAGAAACUAUUGUAGAAGAUGAAGAUAAUGGAGAUACUAGGCUAUGGAGUGCAAUUCUAUCAACAAGUUACCAUCCCAUGUCCAUGGGAAACCUCUGACUCUGGAAUUAUCAAGCUCAAUGUGGUACCAUAUCUAGAGAGAUAGCUGGUUAUGGAGGGAUCUAUGUAGGAGAAAGGAAGGCUAUAUGCCAGCGUGUACUUGUAAUUAUUUAACCCUUUGUUAAUACAAAAUACCCGCUUCCUUUUGCAAGAAAAAAAUAAAUAUGCUGGGUACAUUAAUUAGACAAAGAGCAAAUUUUUGGCAGUCGUACAAUGGCCACUAGCACAACUGCUACAUCAUGGAAACUGCUACAUAACUGUGCAGUAACAAAGGAAAAGUUGAAGAAGAGAGGUGUGCAUAUGGCAUCAAUGUGUGCAGUUUGUAGGCAACAUGAGGACACAUUGAUCAUUUGCUUUGGAACUGUCCUUUUAAAGGACUGUGGGAUUGGGUGGCUAGCAAGUUCAAGUUUAAAUUUAUUUUGAAAAUCUUCAAGGUGCAUUUAAACAGACUAAAGGCAGUAGUACAAUGAUCCAACACAUGUGGGCAGGAGUUGUGGUUGGUGGGAUGGUAUGUUAAUGACUAAACAUAAAUAAAGUCUACUUUAUAUAGUAAUGCAAAUGACCCCAAAUCAUGUAAGAGUUAUGUUUAUUCACAGGUUUCUUGUGCUAGAAAUAUGUCGAAAGAAUUUGCAAUGGGGUCAGCUCAUAACAGUUCUGUUCUGAAUUUGUGGAGGGUUAAAGUUAAGCCAAGGAAUGAUCCUAGGGUUAAAGAAUGUCAAUGGCUGCUACCUAACAUAUCCCAUAUCAAAGUUAAUGUUGAUGGCUCUAUAGAUCAAGGUUCCAAAUAAUACCUUGUACACUUUAUAUAUCUUAAUACAAAAUAGAACUUACCUAGCAAAAAAAAAAAAAAACACUAUCAAACUGUACUGGGAAAUGAUUUAAGAAAGAUGUGUGGACAAUAAAUUAUAUCAAAACUUCUGUGAGGGGAAGAAAUUCUUAUGUUAUAUAUUAUCAAUCACAUAUUGAAAAAGAAAUGGUUUAUAUUAUCAACAAUCAAACUAGACGAGGACAUGGAAGUGAUGAAGUUCAUAACCUUGAAAUUUUCUGUCAAACAAACCAAACAUAUAAACACCCCCAUUUGGUAAUUCCAAAUGGAUAAAGCUAUGAUUUUUAAAAAACAACUUUCCACAAAUCUUAAAAAAAAAACCGAAUUUUAUCUGUAAUUUUAUCAAUCUCAAAAGCAAAAAUUUAGGAAAAAAAAUAUAAUAAGAAUAGAAGAAUAGACAUAGAAGAAGAAAACGAAACUAUAGAUGAUGAAGAUGAAGACUUACCAAACUGAAAUUGGUGAAAGAGAGGCA